GAUGAACGCUGGCGGCGUGCCUAAUACAUGCAAGUCGAGCGAACAGACGAGGAGCUUGCUCCUCUGACGUUAGCGGCGGACGGGUGAGUAACACGUGGAUAACCUACCUAUAAGACUGGGAUAACUUCGGGAAACCGGAGCUAAUACCGGAUAACAUGUUGAACCGCAUGGUUCAACAGUGAAAGACGGUCUUGCUGUCACUUAUAGAUGGAUCCGCGCCGCAUUAGCUAGUUGGUAAGGUAGCGGCUUACCAAGGCAACGAUGCGUAGCCGACCUGAGAGGGUGAUCGGCCACACUGGAACUGAGACACGGUCCAGACUCCUACGGGAGGCAGCAGUAGGGAAUCUUCCGCAAAGGGCGAAAGCCUGACGGAGCAACGCCGCGUGAGUGAAGAAGGUCUUCGGAUCGUAAAACUCUGUUAUUAGGGAAGAACAAAUGUGUAAGUAACUAUGCACGUCUUGACGGUACCUAAUCAGAAAGCCACGGCUAACUACGUG
rnacentral:rRNA from 1 species